rnacentral:rRNA from 1 species
AUUGAACGCUGGCGGCAUGCUUUACACAUGCAAGUCGAACGGUAACAGGUUAAGCUGACGAGUGGCGAACGGGUGAGUAAUGCAUCGGAACGUGCCCAAUCGUGGGGGAUAACGCAGCGAAAGCUGCGCUAAUACCGCAUACGAUCUGAGGAUGAAAGCGGGGGACCGUAAGGCCUCGCGCGAUCGGAGCGGCCGAUGUCAGAUUAGGUAGUUGGUGGGGUAAAGGCCCACCAAGCCGACGAUCUGUAGCUGGUCUGAGAGGACGACCAGCCACACUGGGACUGAGACACGGCCCAGACUCCUACGGGAGGCAGCAGUGGGGAAUUUUGGACAAUGGGCGAAAGCCUGAUCCAGCAAUGCCGCGUGCAGGAAGAAGGCCUUCGGGUUGUAAACUGCUUUUGUACGGAGCGAAAAGGUCCUUUCUAAUACAGGGGGCUCAUGACGGUAACAUAUGAAUAAGCACCGGCUAACUACGUGCCAGCCGCCGCCGUAA